AUGCAGUGCCGGUGCAUGGGCUGCGUCGGCAAGGUCGAGAAGGCCAUGGCCGCCGUCGGCAGCUUCACCGGGGUCGAGACGGCGGUGGGGGACGUCAAUGCUGGGGUCGUGGCCGUGGCGGGGAAGGUGGACCCGGCGGAGCUCUGCCAGUGGCUCAAGAGGAAGACGAGGAAGGAUGUCAAGAUCGUCUGCCCUCAUCCGCCGGCUGAGAAUCAUAAGCAGAAAAUGAUACUGGUCCUGGGAGGCAGUUCAAGAAUCGAGAACACUACACCUUCAGCUCCACCGCUACCGCAACAUUUCUCCAGCGCUCUAGCACCAUCAGGAGUUCAGUCUGGCCACGAGGACCUGCAUCUGAUCGAGGAGAAGAUCAGAGACCUCGAGAGGGCCAGGGAUGCGUUGAAGGUCAGGAGCCUGAAGAACGAGCUGACUGCAGCCAAGUCUGAGCUGAAACAAUCAAGGGAAGUGAUCAGCAACAGUAAGAAGGCUCUGCUAGAUAGUGCCCUGAGCCAGCUCGACGCGUUCAAGAAACUAGAAUCACUCACUCAGGCCACCAUGUGA
rnacentral:rRNA from 1 species